AUGAAGAAGAUAUCGGACCUGCGUGGAGAGGACGAUGAGGAGGGCGCAGAGGAAGCUGAGCGACUGCUUGUAGUAGGCCUUCAUGACGGUGAUGGCGCCGAUGGAGUAGGCGUCGCCGCCGCCGUAGGAGACGCCGCAGUUGGCGAAGAUGGUGAUGAUGACGUGCUCCUUGAUGUUGAAGGGCCCCGGGUUGAGGUUGAAGCUCCCGAGGCGGCCGCCCAGCAGCCUGACCUCGCGGUCGGGCAGCACGGACGCCAUGAAGCGGCCGACGGGGAGCACCAGGAUCUGGGCCAGGAUGCCCGAGAUGGUGAGCGGCUGCGUGCGGUACGUGAAGAAGGUGUUGAGGAAGAUGAGCACCACGCAGGAGGCGAGCCCCAGCGUCCACGCCCGGAAUGUCAUCACCGGCGUCGCCGGGUCGUCCGUCUCCGGCACCACCAGCGCCACCUCCUCCACCGGGACUGUUCAAGAGGGUUUGGAUUUUGUACUCGAUAUCAGCGGGUGGAGCCGAGGGAUCGAGCUAGGCACAAGUGGAGGGUGUAG
rnacentral:rRNA from 1 species